rnacentral:misc_RNA from 1 species
GGCGCACGGGUGAGUAAUGUAUAGCUAAUCUGCCCCAUAGAGAGGAACAACACUUAGAAAUGAGUGCUAAUACCUCAUACUCCAAUUAUACAUAAGUUUAAUUGGGAAAUGUAGCUCUUAAUAAUAUAUAUCAAAGAUAAUUUAUAAAUAAAAAGUUAUAAAUAUAACAAUAAGCUUUUUUGCAGCUUUAUAUAAUAAAGCGAAAAAAAGUAAAGCAGUUAGAUUUAAUAAAUUUUUAUAGCAUUUAAAAAUACAAAAGACUUAAUUUUUAAAUCUAAAUAUAAAUUAUUACUAAUAUUUUUAAUAGUCAUUUAGAAAUAUCUUAAUAUAUAUUAUUAAGAGCUUUCGCUAUGGGAUGAGGCUAUAUUGUAUCAGCUAGUUGG